rnacentral:misc_RNA from 1 species
GAUGAAGAACGCAGCGAAAUGCGAUAAGUAGUGUGAAUUGCAGAAUUCAGUGAAUCAUCGAAUCUUUGAACGCACAUUGCGCCCGCCAGUAUUCUGGCGGGCAUGCCUGUUCGAGCGUCAUUUCAACCCUCAAGCUCUGUCUUGCGCUUGGUGUUGGGGAUCGGCCCUGCCCGCCAGCCCGGGCGGGCCGCCCCCGAAAUGAAUCGGCGGUCUCGUCGCAGCCUCCUCUGCGUAGUAAUUCAGUUAUCCUCGCACUUGGAGCGCGGCGCGGCCACUGCCCGUAAAACGCCCAACUUCUCAAGAGUUGACCUCGAAUCAGGUAGGAAUACCCGCUGAACUUAAGCAUAUCAAUAAGCGGAGGA